ensembl:lncRNA
GGGAGAAGCUGGAGCUUUACAGAUUGCCGGAUAGAAAUGUAAACUUAAUUUCCGAUUGAGUCGGCACAUACUACGUUUACGAGCACAUGGCCGGCUGGUUAAGAAUUCCAAUACACGAUGGCAGGGAAAGUGGGUCGGAUAUAAACUUUAGACAAGGAAUGUGUGGCGGGAAUGGAUUCGGUAAGAGUCACAAACACACACGGCGCGUCACUGGGUUGCUGUGCUAUUAGUCCUAUCAUGUUGUGCAUCCUUCUUAAAACAAAUAGCAGAGAGUGAUGCAUUCUGCAUUUAACACUGAGAAACAGCAGAGACAUGCCAACAGAGUUACCAACAUGACAUCAGAUGAAAGCAUUAGUUCCCUUACUGUAACAAAUGAUACCCUUGUCCAGAGGGGAAACUGCCAUGGUAGGGCUGGCAGUGUAGUUUUGGACAUAAGUAAAGAAGCAGGAUAUACUGUACUGUAUUAAUGAAAGCCAGAGGAAGCAAUUCCUUCAAAGAUACACAAACAGCUAACAUUGUGGGACUAUCCCUCAGAGGAUACAGACCCCAAAACUAAUACGUUGAGGAGAAUCUCUCGCCUACAGGAUUUCAUGUUGCCAUUAAAAAAAUGAAAAAAUAUAUAUAUAUAUACGUGCGACAUUAAAAAUACACUUAACAGACAUUUUGGCAAAUGUGGAUCCCCUUGAAGCAUGCUUGAUAAGACAAUGGACUUACAUGUCUCGUAUUAAAAUAGACGUUAAAAUAGAUGUCAAUUCUCAGGACAAUAUAUAACAUUCACCGUUUCAAGCUACACUGAAAGUUACUGAGAGGAAAGGUCGUGUGUGGGUGCACUGAAACAUAACAGUAUUACAACAGUAUACCGUGCAUACACACCACAGUCAAAUUACCAUAGGAAAAGCAUUGAUAUUCAGGUAAACAGGAGGACAAAAGCACAACAGCAUUCAAAUGCUAUUCAAAUGCAGGAUGUACGUUCCACAGUCCAUUUGAGUUGCUGUUGUUGUGCUAGAUAGCGGUUUGAUAACCAAUCCACGAAAGCAGCAGUCGUUCUGGAGCCGAAACGUUUCAUCUCGGACAUCGAACAUACCGUGUGUUUUAUAAAGUUUCUCGCAUUACAUUUACAAAGAAACAAGCUACUCAGACAAAGCGAAGCUUUUCUCCCCAGAGAAAGCAGUUGGAAGUCCAGGUGGCAUGUGGCCUAUGGAUUCUAUCUUGGCAAUAACAGCACCUCUUAUAUUUUGGAGAGACAUCGUUUAGGUUAUUAAUAUAGACAUAAUAAUAACAACAUAUAGCUAAAUGCAUAGCUAAAACAUACCACUUAGACUCGAAGGUAAUAACAUCACACUAAACACAAUGUGAUUUUAUUUUCUAUAUUCAGUGUUAGGUAAACUAGGUAAGAGAUAUGAAAACAUGGGCUUACAUCCACAUUUUAAAAUAUAGAUUUAACACAGAAAGACAUUUUGUACAAAUUCACUUAUAUUGAGGGAGUUGAAAUCUUGAGUAAAUGUAAGGUUUGCAUUUGCAGUAUUUUUCCACUAUGUGGCGGCAUCUCUCUCUCGCUCUGUGUGUGAGUGACAUGCCUUGAAUAAAGUGGACAAUGUUCUCUCUUCUACACAACCGACAAUCAUAUCUGUUCUACCU